AUUUGUAGAGGAUGUUUCGGGCACCGCUCCGGUUUAAAUUUCUUGGAACAGAAUGUCAAAGAGGGUGAGAACCCCGUCUUGGACCGGCAGUAGGGCCCAUGUGAAACUCCUUCGACGAGUCGAGUUGUUUGGGAAUGCAGCUCAAAAUGGGUGGUAAAUUUCAUCUAAAGCUAAAUAUUGGCCAGAGACCGAUAGCGCACAAGUAGAGUGAUCGAAAGAUGAAAAGCACUUUGAAAAGAGAGUUAAACAGUACGUGAAAUUGUUGAAAGGGAAGCGCUUGCAACCAGACUUGCGCGCGGCGGUUCCCCCUUCCUUUUGGUUGGGUUAUUCCGCCGUGUCCAGGCCAACAUCGGUUCUGGGGGUCGGUUAAAGGCCUGGGGAAUGUAUCUACCCUUCGGGCGUAGACUUAUAGCCCCGGGUGUCAUGCGACCUCCCGGGACCGAGGAACGCGCUUCGGCUCGGAUGUUGGCGUAAUGGUUGUCAGCGACCCGUCUUGAAACACGGACCAAGGAGUCUAACAUCUAUGCGAGUGUUUGGGUGUCAAACCCGGAACGCGGAAUGAAAGUGAACGGAGGUAGGAAGCUUCGGCUGCACUAUCGACCGAUCCUGAUGUCUUCGGAUGGAUUUGAGUAAGAGCAUAGCUGUUGGGACCCGAAAGAUGGUGAAC
rnacentral:rRNA from 1 species